rnacentral:rRNA from 1 species
GGAACCGGGAGAGGUAAGAGGUACUACAGGGGUAGGAGUGAAAUCUUGUAAUCCCUGUGGGACCACCUGUGGCGAAGGCGUCUUACCAGAACGGGUUCGACGGUGAGGGACGAAAGCUGGGGGCACGAACCGGAUUAGAUACCCGGGUAGUCCCAGCCGUAAACGAUGCUCGCUAGGUGUCAGGCAUGGCGCGACCGUGUCUGGUGCCGCAGGGAAGCCGUGAAGCGAGCCACCUGGGAAGUACGGCCGCAAGGCUGAAACUUAAAGGAAUUGGCGGGGGAGCACAACAACGGGUGGAGCCCUGCGGUUUAAUUGGACUCAACGCCGGACAACUCACCGGGGGCGACAGCAAUAUGUAGGCCAAGCUGAAGACUUUGCCUGAAUCGCUGAGAAGAGGUGCAUGG